AGUGGAUGGGGAGCAACCUAGUUGUGCGUGUGUAAAGGUAGUGCCAAGAAAAGCGGUGAUCAUGAUGAAAAUCAAUUCCCGGUACCCGAAACCGACACAGGUGGGCAAGUAGAGAAUACUAAGGGGCGCGAGGUAACUCUCUCCAAGGAACUCGGCAAAAUGACCCCGUAACUUAGGGAGAAGGGGUGCCACCGAGAGGUGGUCGCAGUGAAGAGGCCCAGGCGACUGUUUAGCAAAAACAUAGGUCUCUGCAAACUCGAAAGAGGAGGUAUAGGGGCUGACGCCUGCCCAGUGCCGGAAGGUUAAAGAAGUUGGUCAGUCUAGGAUGAAGCUAGCGACUGAAGCCCCGGUGAACGGCGGCCGUAACUAUAACGGUCCUAAGGUAGCAAAAUUCCUUGUCGGGUAAGUUCCGACCCGCACGAAAGGCGUAACGAUCUGGGCGCUGUCUCGGAGAGAGGCUCGGCGAAAUAGGAUUGUCUGUGAAGAUACGGACUACCUGCAUUUGGACAGAAAGACCCUAUGAAGCUUUACUAUAGCUUGGAAUUGUGUUCGGGCUUCCUGUGCGCAGGAUAGGUGGGAGGCGUAGAAGGUAUUCUUGUGGGGAUACUGGAGCCAACGGUGAGAUACCACUCUCAGGAGGCUAGAAUUCUAACUUAAUUAAGGACAGUUUCAGGUGGGUAGUUUGACUGGGGCGGUCGCCUCCAAAAAGGUAACGGAGGCGUACAAAGGUUCCCUCAGACUGGUUGGAAAUCAGUCGAAGAGUGCAAAGGCAGAAGGGAGCUUGACUGCGAGAAGUACAGUUCGAGCAGGGUGGAAACACGGUCUUAGUGAUCCGACGGCGCUGUGUGGAAGGGCCGUCGCUCAACGGAUAAAAGUUACUCUAGGAUAACAGGCUGAUCUCCCCCAAGAGUUCACAUCGACGGGGAGGUUUGGCACCUCGAUGUCGGCUCAUCGCAACCUGGGGCGGAAGUACGUCCCAAGGGUUGGGCUGUUCGCCCAUUAAAGCGGUACGUGAGCUGGGUUCAGAACGUCGUGAGACAGUUCGGUCCAUAUCCGAUGUAGGCGUGAGAAUAUUGAGAGGAGCCUUCCUUAGUACGAGAGGACCGGGAAGGACGCACCGCUGGUGUACCUGUUAUGAUGCCAAUUGUAAACGCAGGGUAGCCAAGUGCGGAGAGGAUAACCGCUGAAAGCAUCUAAGUGGGAAGCCCACCUCAAGAUGAGUAUUCUGGUGUAAGGUCACGGGAAGACGACCCGUAAAUAGGCACGAGGUGGAAGUGCAGAGAUGUAUGAAGCCGAAGUGUACUAAUAGACCGUCGGC
rnacentral:rRNA from 1 species